rnacentral:lncRNA from 1 species
UAGAAUGUUAAAUGGAAGUAGUAUAUACAUGUGGAGGUAGGGGAUAUUUUAUAUAUAUUCCUUAGGUUUAACUAUUCUAUUUUAUUGAUCUUGUGAUAGUUCCUUAAUAGUAUUUAUACUAUUUAAAUGUGAUAUUUGAACUUAUAUUUAACUGUUAUAAUUUAUUGAGCGUUUAAUAUUAUAAAAAUUUGGAUACUCAAAUAAAAAUAAUCAUAUAUA